GCCCGGUUAGCUCAGUCGGUAGAGCAUCUGACUUUUAAUCAGAGGGUCGCGGGUUUUAGUCCCUCAUCGGGUG
rnacentral:tRNA from 1 species